rnacentral:rRNA from 1 species
GGGUUGUGAGGUUAAGCGACUAAGCGUACACGGUGGAUGCCCUGGCAGUCAGAGGCGAUGAAGGACGUGCUAAUCUGCGAUAAGCGUCGGUAAGGUGAUAUGAACCGUUAUAACCGGCGAUUUCCGAAUGGGGAAACCCAGUGUGAUUCGUCACACUAUCAUUAACUGAAUCCAUAGGUUAAUGAGGCGAACCGGGGGAACUGAAACAUCUAAGUACCCCGAGGAAAAGAAAUCAACCGAGAUUCCCCCAGUAGCGGCGAGCGAACGGGGAGCAGCCCAGAGCCUGAAUCAGUGUGUGUGUUAGUGGAAGCGUCUGGAAAGGCGUGCGAUACAGGGUGACAGCCCCGUACACAAAAAUGCACAUAUUGUGAGCUCGAUGAGUAGGGCGGGACACGUGGUAUCCUGUCUGAAUAUGGGGGGACCAUCCUCCAAGGCUAAAUACUCCUGACUGACCGAUAGUGAACCAGUACCGUGAGGGAAAGGCGAAAAGAACCCCGGCGAGGGGAGUGAAAAAGAACCUGAAACCGUGUACGUACAAGCAGUGGGAGCACGCUUAGGCGUGUGACUGCGUACCUUUUGUAUAAUGGGUCAGCGACUUAUAUUCUGUAGCAAGGUUAACCGAAUAGGGGAGCCGAAGGGAAACCGAGUCUUAACUGGGCGUUAAGUUGCAGGGUAUAGACCCGAAACCCGGUGAUCUAGCCAUGGGCAGGUUGAAGGUUGGGUAACACUAACUGGAGGACCGAACCGACUAAUGUUGAAAAAUUAGCGGAUGACUUGUGGCUGGGGGUGAAAGGCCAAUCAAACCGGGAGAUAGCUGGUUCUCCCCGAAAGCUAUUUAGGUAGCGCCUCGUGAAUUCAUCUCCGGGGGUAGAGCACUGUUUCGGCAAGGGGGUCAUCCCGACUUACCAACCCGAUGCAAACUGCGAAUACCGGAGAAUGUUAUCACGGGAGACACACGGCGGGUGCUAACGUCCGUCGUGAAGAGGGAAACAACCCAGACCGCCAGCUAAGGUCCCAAAGUCAUGGUUAAGUGGGAAACGAUGUGGGAAGGCCCAGACAGCCAGGAUGUUGGCUUAGAAGCAGCCAUCAUUUAAAGAAAGCGUAAUAGCUCACUGGUCGAGUCGGCCUGCGCGGAAGAUGUAACGGGGCUAAACCAUGCACCGAAGCUGCGGCAGCGACACUAUGUGUUGUUGGGUAGGGGAGCGUUCUGUAAGCCUGUGAAGGUGUACUGUGAGGUAUGCUGGAGGUAUCAGAAGUGCGAAUGCUGACAUAAGUAACGAUAAAGCGGGUGAAAAGCCCGCUCGCCGGAAGACCAAGGGUUCCUGUCCAACGUUAAUCGGGGCAGGGUGAGUCGACCCCUAAGGCGAGGCCGAAAGGCGUAGUCGAUGGGAAACAGGUUAAUAUUCCUGUACUUGGUGUUACUGCGAAGGGGGGACGGAGAAGGCUAUGUUGGCCGGGCGACGGUUGUCCCGGUUUAAGCGUGUAGGCUGGUUUUCCAGGCAAAUCCGGAAAAUCAAGGCUGAGGCGUGAUGACGAGGCACUACGGUGCUGAAGCAACAAAUGCCCUGCUUCCAGGAAAAGCCUCUAAGCAUCAGGUAACAUCAAAUCGUACCCCAAACCGACACAGGUGGUCAGGUAGAGAAUACCAAGGCGCUUGAGAGAACUCGGGUGAAGGAACUAGGCAAAAUGGUGCCGUAACUUCGGGAGAAGGCACGCUGAUAUGUAGGUGAAGUCCCUCGCGGAUGGAGCUGAAAUCAGUCGAAGAUACCAGCUGGCUGCAACUGUUUAUUAAAAACACAGCACUGUGCAAACACGAAAGUGGACGUAUACGGUGUGACGCCUGCCCGGUGCCGGAAGGUUAAUUGAUGGGGUUAGCGCAAGCGAAGCUCUUGAUCGAAGCCCCGGUAAACGGCGGCCGUAACUAUAACGGUCCUAAGGUAGCGAAAUUCCUUGUCGGGUAAGUUCCGACCUGCACGAAUGGCGUAAUGAUGGCCAGGCUGUCUCCACCCGAGACUCAGUGAAAUUGAACUCGCUGUGAAGAUGCAGUGUACCCGCGGCAAGACGGAAAGACCCCGUGAACCUUUACUAUAGCUUGACACUGAACAUUGAGCCUUGAUGUGUAGGAUAGGUGGGAGGCUUUGAAGUGUGGACGCCAGUCUGCAUGGAGCCGACCUUGAAAUACCACCCUUUAAUGUUUGAUGUUCUAACGUUGACCCGUGAUCCGGGUUGCGGACAGUGUCUGGUGGGUAGUUUGACUGGGGCGGUCUCCUCCUAAAGAGUAACGGAGGAGCACGAAGGUUGGCUAAUCCUGGUCGGACAUCAGGAGGUUAGUGCAAUGGCAUAAGCCAGCUUGACUGCGAGCGUGACGGCGCGAGCAGGUGCGAAAGCAGGUCAUAGUGAUCCGGUGGUUCUGAAUGGAAGGGCCAUCGCUCAACGGAUAAAAGGUACUCCGGGGAUAACAGGCUGAUACCGCCCAAGAGUUCAUAUCGACGGCGGUGUUUGGCACCUCGAUGUCGGCUCAUCACAUCCUGGGGCUGAAGUAGGUCCCAAGGGUAUGGCUGUUCGCCAUUUAAAGUGGUACGCGAGCUGGGUUUAGAACGUCGUGAGACAGUUCGGUCCCUAUCUGCCGUGGGCGCUGGAGAACUGAGGGGGGCUGCUCCUAGUACGAGAGGACCGGAGUGGACGCAUCACUGGUGUUCGGGUUGUCAUGCCAAUGGCACUGCCCGGUAGCUAAAUGCGGAAGAGAUAAGUGCUGAAAGCAUCUAAGCACGAAACUUGCCCCGAGAUGAGUUCUCCCUGACUCCUUGAGAGUCCUGAAGGAACGUUGAAGACGACGACGUUGAUAGGCCGGGUGUGUAAGCGCAGCGAUGCGUUGAGCUAACCGGUACUAAUGAACCGUGAGGCUUAACCUUACAACGCCGAAG